GUGCAGCAGGCGCGAAAACUUUACAAUGUGCGAAAGCACGAUAAGGGAACUCUGAGUGCCUCCUAAGGAGGCUGUUCAGGUGUCUAAAAAGCACCUGAAGGAAGGGCUGGGUAAGACCGGUGCCAGCCGCCGCGGUAACACCGGCAGCCCAAGUGGUAGCCACGUUUAUUGGGUCUAAAGCGUCCGUAGCCGGCUGGGUAAGUUCCUUGGGAAAUUUGGCUGCUUAACAGUCAAGCUUUCAGGGAAUACUGCCCGGCUUGGGACCGGGAGAGGUCAGAGGUACUCCAGGGGUAGGGGUGAAAUCCAUUAAUCCUUGGGGGACCACCGGUAGCGAAGGCGUCUGACCAGACCGGGUCCGACGGUGAGGGACGAAGGCUA
rnacentral:rRNA from 1 species